rnacentral:lncRNA from 1 species
AGCCACCACCCUCAUCUGAGGUCGAAUGUCCAUACAGGCACUCGAGCCCCCAUCUAGGUCUAUUCCACAUGCGGCCCUAGCUGGGAUUUUGGGAAGCCUAAACUUGCCAUUACAGUUUCCAAAGCCUUCGACUUUCACUCCCUAUCCACCACCGUCCCCGCCUAGAGAUGAGGGCCGUGAGGACGAUGCAGAGGAUGAUGGUGCUGAAUGAAUCUACAACAUUAUAGACUAAUGAAGGGAUUGGCGAAGUCAAGUCUAGGGGAG